AAGGACACGUCUAAAACCUGCAGGACACCGACCCUCGAGGCCUGGAGUUCAAAGGAUCUGCUGUACAUGCCUGAAAUCAUUCUCUUCAAUAGCAUUCCUUCAUUCCCAAAGGCUGUUCCAGUCCACCUCAGUGAAGAAUGAGUGCUGCUUCACUUCAAAAGCACCACCUUGGGGGCAGAGCAAGGAAAGGAGGUGGAUGUAAAAAGAGAGAAUGAGGGAGCGCGAUGACAGACAGCUCCUCUGGAGUG